UACGAAGGGUGCAAGCGUUACUCGGAAUUACUGGGCGUAAAGCGUGCGUAGGUGGUUUGUUAAGUCUGUUGUGAAAGCCCCGGGCUCAACCUGGGAAUGGCAAUGGAUACUGGCAGGCUAGAGUGCGGUAGAGGGUAGUGGAAUUCCCGGUGUAGUGGUGGAAUGCGUAGAUAUCGGGAGGAACACCAGUGGCGAAGGCGGUUGCCUGGAGCUUUGCUGACGCUGAGGCGCGAAAGCGUGGGGAGCGAUCCGG
rnacentral:rRNA from 1 species